GGGAUGCCUCCUUACCCUUCUCAGGGGUUUCCAUUUCUUCCUUCCUACCCUCCACAAGAAGCUGCUAGCAGGAGCAUCACUUCUUUGUCUGUAGCUGACACUGUUUCUUCUUCAACCACAAGUUACACUGCAGCCAAGCCUGUGGCGCCUUCAUUUGGCAUCCUUUCAAGUCUGCCAUUACCAGUUCCCACAACAGAAUCUUCAGCAUCGGUCGGUAACUCUGGAGUCUGUGUUUUGUACCUGUGAAGUAGGUGUUUGGUCAGCUAGUUUUUAUUAUGUCUGUCUACUAAGCUAGGCAUAAAAGAUGAAGUCAUAUUUGUCAUCUCAGAUAAUAAACUCAGAAGUAACCAAGGAGGACUUGU
rnacentral:lncRNA from 1 species